GCCAUUUAAAACUACAGGAAAAAGAUAAUUAUCAUUGACAACGCAACUAUACAUAACUUCCAAUGAAUGAUACAGGACUACAAACCAAAACUGAGGAACUCUGAUGGGAGAGAAAAUUUGGCACAGACAAUGGCAAAAUUACAAUAACCAAGGGAAGGGAAAAGAAAGCAAAGAACUCUCAUAAUAAGUUGUAGACUCGAGACACCAAUGGACUAAAGGCACUGCAGUGCAUACUCUUGACAUGAUAUUACUCACUUUCCAAUUCCAACUUCCUUUUCAAGAAACAAAUGUACUCGUUUGUCAGGAUAUCACUAAUGCAAUUUUACAAGGCCACAAGGUGUAUACUUAUAGCAUUAUUACUCAUUUUCCAAUUCCAAGUUCCUUCUGGAUAUCUCUUGUCAGGCUGAAUUGUAAAGUGCUAUGCCAUGGGAAUAGGGUGCGAGUAACUGGAAGUUUCCUUCGCAAAUCCUGCAACUCACCGUAACCACUAAAUGGAUCAAGGAAGUGCUUAUGACUAGUGCCACAAAUCUCCUUCCUACUAAAGGAUUAUAUACUUAUAUUUUGUAAGAAGAAUGUACUUUAAGCGAAAAUGCAAAAAAGGGUAAAAACCAAAGCUCUCCUUCCUUCUAAACGUCUGAAAAUUCUGUUAUCUAAAGUGCUGUAAAUCAUUGCAAAGGGUGAAAACCAAAGCUCUCCUUCAUCCUAAACAUCAGAAAAUUCAGUUAUCUAAAGUGCUGUAAAGUGUUGCAUCUAGGAUUCAAGGAAAGCUUAUAUGAGAUGAAAGGGAAUUGGUAAUCUUGAUAUAAGAGUCCUUCCACUAUUUUUAAGUCCUCAGUAAAAUCCUAUAAUGAACGUUAAGCAAGCGAAAAUAUUCUUCACUGAUAUGAGGUAAUCUGUUCAAUAAUUUUUCAUAUUGCUAUCUUCUAAUCAAACUUACCUUGAAAGUGGUAUAUGGCAGAUUUGAAUAGGAUGCCUGUCAAACAUAACUGUUAGUGUAGGAACCCCAAAAUUCAGGUAUUUAACAGUAAAAAGAGACACAUUGAUAACCUCAAGGGAUGCUAGGUAUUCUGCUUCAUGGUAGCGAAUAAUGUUGGCUAUGGAAAAUGCAGAAUCAUCAGUGGCCUGUAUCUUGCCUCUUAUUCCCAGCAUUUGUACAUCAUCCCUGAACUCAAUAUUCCACACUGAGCGCCAGCUUCCAUUGCAGAAAUUCUUUGGACUAUUUCUAACAGCAGAAAUCACCACAACAAGCUCAAAAUUAGAUCCUGGUCCCUCCACAUCUUUUCCAUUAACACAAUACACAGAACAGAUUCCCUUCGGAUAAGCUUCACCAACAUAUUUAAGUAUUUCUGCAUCUAGAGUACAACUGCCACAGAAAAUUGACAUCAAUAGUAAAAGAAUAUGUAAAGUGGUGCAUAAAAAACAACCGCUAACAAUUUUCUAUCUGCCAUAAACAAAUCAUGCUUCUGCUAUAUUUUCUUGCAUGUAGAUGUGUACCCAAAAGUUACAAAUUAAUCAUAGAAUUCCCAACCCCACAAUUCGCAUCACCACAAACAUGCACAGAAUAUAAAAGAAUUAAGCAGCAAGUUUUAGGUAAAAAGAGAACACAUACAGAAAGGCUAGAUUGAAACUCAAACAAGAACAAGAAAAACUAAAAAUUAAUUUAAAAGUUGAUUCCUCUAGAUCCUUUCAGAAACCUGUUUGUAACAGGAAGGUUAGAGGAUAAUAGAAAACUCGUCUUGAAUCAAAGUGGAAACUCAUAUAAUGAGUCAUUGUUCUCAGUUGAAUAUUACUAAAUUAAAUUUGUAACAAGACCAAUGCAAAAUAAAUAAGCUAAUUAAAAAAAUGAGCUACUCAACAAGCCAAGAGGCACUCAUUGAGGGACUCAAUCAAUAAAGUCAAAUAGCUAUACAACCUGAGGGAAAAAUCUAUAAAGGAUAUUCAAAUUGAAGAAUUUGUAUAAGUGUGCUACUUUUUUAACAAACAAGAAACUCAGAAGCAUACCAAAAUUCCUCUAUAUAAGGCGACAGAAGUUCCUCAUCAGCCGCAGGUCUCAAGUCUGUUCAAACCUGAAUCAAUUUAGCACGUCACAAUAUAAAAGAUGGACAGCAAAACUUUUCUUUAUUUAUUUAGUUGACACGUUAUCUGAUCAUAUAUAGUUUAGCUACAUGAUCAAGAAGUAGCAGAACUUACGUGCUUCACAUGGUUAACUGUAGCUACCUGGGCAGUUCUAGGAUCAAGAUACUCAUUCUUAUCAAGCUCAUUAUAAGAUGUAAUCAACACCUAAAGUACACAAUUCCAAAAGAUGCAACACAAGAAAUUUUACUUCCAAUCAAGUAUGGUCAAAUAUAAAACCAGGGUUCUAAAACAAGACAUCUAUAAUUGCAAUACAUAAGACAAACAAUUCAAAAAUGAAGACUAAACUGUAUAAAAAUCAAAAGAAAAACACGAAAAAAAGCCUUACAUCUCCGCUUCUAUCCGGUAAUUCGAGGCAAAUCAUGUGAGAUUUGUUGUAGAAAGGGAAUGCCUCUUGAGCCGCCUCGUUAUAUACUCGCUCGUCAUUCAAAACCGAUUUCAAAUCUUUAGAGACAUAUUGGAUUUCACCGGCGGGCGAGUUGAGAAGGAAUCAUUUGGCGAUCUCUUUCUUUUGCCUGUCGCUAAGCUCAGAGUCAAGGUAUUCCUCUUCUGCCAUUGAUCUCUCCCUUCUCUUCUUUCAAUACAUCGAAGUAGAAACAGAAGCUAUGUGAACCUGUGAUACAGAUUUUAAAAGGAAUCGCAGAAAGAGGGAGCAGAGUGUGAUCUGUGAAGGCAAAUUUGGGGGGUGUGAGUGCGAGUCGAGAUGUUG
rnacentral:misc_RNA from 1 species